ACUCCAAGCAGCGACAAAAUAAUGUAUAAAGCGUAAACGCAUUACAUUCUAUUUCUCUCUUUUUCCAUAGUUUUUAAACCAAUCGUAAUACAUAUAGAUGCAAAAGACGAGAAUAUUAUAGAGGUUAGAAAUGGUACCAAUAUAUGCAGAACACAGGACAUAGAAUACACGUAUAUGUUUUUAUAUGUAUUUAUGUGUUCAUAAAUACCAUGGACCGGCCCAAAAUUGAGUUAUAAUGUAAUUUUAAUGUAAUAAUAUUAAUUGUAAUUUAUUGUUACAGAAAAAUAUAAUUUUCUUCUUAAUUUUACUUUAUUUAAAAUAGAUUUCAAAUUGUUCUCUAUAACUAUUAAUUACUGUAUAUAAUAAAUCCUCGGAUAAUAGUUGUCCAA
rnacentral:lncRNA from 1 species